rnacentral:rRNA from 1 species
UACGGGGGGGGCAAGCGUUGUUCGGAAUUACUGGGCGUAAAGGGCUCGUAGGCGGCCAACUAAGUCAGACGUGAAAUCCCUCGGCUUAACCGGGGAACUGCGUCUGAUACUGGAUGGCUCGAGUUUGGGAGAGGGAUGCGGAAUUCCAGGUGUAGCGGUGAAAUGCGUAGAUAUCUGGAGGAACACCGGUGGCGAAGGCGGCAUCCUGGACCGGCAUUGACGCUGAGGCGCGAAAGCCAGGGGAGCAAACGGG